rnacentral:rRNA from 1 species
UACGUAGGGGGCAAGCGUUGUCCGGAUUUAUUGGGCGUAAAGCGCUCGCAGGUGGUUCGUCGCGUCGUGCGUGAAAGACCCCGGCUCAACUGGGGAGGGUCGUGCGAUACGGGCGGACUGGAGGCCAGUAGGGGGAUGCGGAAUUCCGGGUGUAGUGGUGGAGUGCGUAGAGAUCCGGAGGAACACCAGCGGCGAAGGCGGCAUCCUGGACUGGUCCUGACACUCAGGAGCGAAAGCGUGGGGAGCGAUCCGG